AACGCACAUUGCGCCUCCUGGUAUUCCGGGAGGCAUGCUUGUUUGAACGUCAGAUAGUCCAGUUCAAGCUCUUUUGCUUGGUUGUGGAGGUUGAGCGAUGUCUAUGUGCUCGUUCACCUUUGAAAUUUAUUGGCGUAUGCCUUUGUGUUUUGUUUAGCGUUAUAGGUUAACUCUUUCGCUUGGACUCAUGAAGCUGUGCGGUCAUAAUCACCCCAAUUCCACGUAGGGUUGACUUCAAACAAGUAGGGAUACCCGCUGAACUUAA
rnacentral:misc_RNA from 1 species